ACAUGUGAGUUAAAUGCCAUAAAUGCAUGAGAUCACAUCUGAUCUUGGAAGCUAAGUAGGGCCAACCCAGGUUAGUACUUGGAUGGGAGACCACCAAUGAAUUCCAGGUGCUAUAAGCU
rnacentral:rRNA from 1 species